GCCUUCGUGGUGUAACAGUUAGCAUAGUUGACGCGUAAUCGAGAAGUCCAGGUUCGAGUCCCGACGAGGGCG
rnacentral:tRNA from 1 species